rnacentral:rRNA from 1 species
UACAGGGGGGGCGAAGCGUUGUUCGGAAUUACUGGGCGUAAAGGGCCAGUAGGCGGCCAACUAAGUCCGACGUGAAAUCCCCAGGCUUAACCUGGGAACUGCGUCGGAUACUGGAUGGCUUGAAUUCGGGAGAGGGAUGCAGAAUUCCAGGUGUAGCGGUGAAAUGCGUAGAUAUCUGGAGGAAUACCGGUGGCGAAGGCGGCAUCCUGGACCGACAUUGACGCUGAACGGCGAAAGCUAGGGGAGCAAACGGG